rnacentral:rRNA from 1 species
GGGUUGUGAGGUUAAGCGACUAAGCGUACACGGUGGAUGCCCUGGCAGUCAGAGGCGAUGAAGGACGUGCUAAUCUGCGAUAAGCGUCGGUAAGGUGAUAUGAACCGUUAUAACCGGCGAUUUCCGAAUGGGGAAACCCAGUGUGAUUCGUCACACUAUCAUUAACUGAAUCCAUAGGUUAAUGAGGCGAACCGGGGGAACUGAAACAUCUAAGUACCCCGAGGAAAAGAAAUCAACCGAGAUUCCCCCAGUAGCGGCGAGCGAACGGGGAGCAGCCCAGAGCCUGAAUCAGUGUGUGUGUUAGUGGAAGCGUCUGGAAAGGCGCGCGAUACAGGGUGACAGCCCCGUACACAAAAAUGCACAUGCUGUGAGCUCGAUGAGUAGGGCGGGACACGUGGUAUCCUGUCUGAAUAUGGGGGGACCAUCCUCCAAGGCUAAAUACUCCUGACUGACCGAUAGUGAACCAGUACCGUGAGGGAAAGGCGAAAAGAACCCCGGCGAGGGGAGUGAAAAAGAACCUGAAACCGUGUACGUACAAGCAGUGGGAGCCUCUUUAUGGGGUGACUGCGUACCUUUUGUAUAAUGGGUCAGCGACUUAUAUUCUGUAGCAAGGUUAACCGAAUAGGGGAGCCGAAGGGAAACCGAGUCUUAACUGGGCGUUAAGUUGCAGGGUAUAGACCCGAAACCCGGUGAUCUAGCCAUGGGCAGGUUGAAGGUUGGGUAACACUAACUGGAGGACCGAACCGACUAAUGUUGAAAAAUUAGCGGAUGACUUGUGGCUGGGGGUGAAAGGCCAAUCAAACCGGGAGAUAGCUGGUUCUCCCCGAAAGCUAUUUAGGUAGCGCCUCGUGAAUUCAUCUCCGGGGGUAGAGCACUGUUUCGGCAAGGGGGUCAUCCCGACUUACCAACCCGAUGCAAACUGCGAAUACCGGAGAAUGUUAUCACGGGAGACACACGGCGGGUGCUAACGUCCGUCGUGAAGAGGGAAACAACCCAGACCGCCAGCUAAGGUCCCAAAGUCAUGGUUAAGUGGGAAACGAUGUGGGAAGGCCCAGACAGCCAGGAUGUUGGCUUAGAAGCAGCCAUCAUUUAAAGAAAGCGUAAUAGCUCACUGGUCGAGUCGGCCUGCGCGGAAGAUGUAACGGGGCUAAACCAUGCACCGAAGCUGCGGCAGCGACGCUUAUGCGUUGUUGGGUAGGGGAGCGUUCUGUAAGCCUGCGAAGGUGUACUGUGAGGUAUGCUGGAGGUAUCAGAAGUGCGAAUGCUGACAUAAGUAACGAUAAAGCGGGUGAAAAGCCCGCUCGCCGGAAGACCAAGGGUUCCUGUCCAACGUUAAUCGGGGCAGGGUGAGUCGACCCCUAAGGCGAGGCCGAAAGGCGUAGUCGAUGGGAAACAGGUUAAUAUUCCUGUACUUGGUGUUACUGCGAAGGGGGGACGGAGAAGGCUAUGUUGGCCGGGCGACGGUUGUCCCGGUUUAAGCGUGUAGGCUGGUUUUCCAGGCAAAUCCGGAAAAUCAAGGCUGAGGCGUGAUGACGAGGCACUACGGUGCUGAAGCAACAAAUGCCCUGCUUCCAGGAAAAGCCUCUAAGCAUCAGGUAACAUCAAAUCGUACCCCAAACCGACACAGGUGGUCAGGUAGAGAAUACCAAGGCGCUUGAGAGAACUCGGGUGAAGGAACUAGGCAAAAUGGUGCCGUAACUUCGGGAGAAGGCACGCUGAUAUGUAGGUGAAGUCCCUCGCGGAUGGAGCUGAAAUCAGUCGAAGAUACCAGCUGGCUGCAACUGUUUAUUAAAAACACAGCACUGUGCAAACACGAAAGUGGACGUAUACGGUGUGACGCCUGCCCGGUGCCGGAAGGUUAAUUGAUGGGGUUAGCGGUAACGCGAAGCUCUUGAUCGAAGCCCCGGUAAACGGCGGCCGUAACUAUAACGGUCCUAAGGUAGCGAAAUUCCUUGUCGGGUAAGUUCCGACCUGCACGAAUGGCGUAAUGAUGGCCAGGCUGUCUCCACCCGAGACUCAGUGAAAUUGAACUCGCUGUGAAGAUGCAGUGUACCCGCGGCAAGACGGAAAGACCCCGUGAACCUUUACUAUAGCUUGACACUGAACAUUGAGCCUUGAUGUGUAGGAUAGGUGGGAGGCUUUGAAGUGUGGACGCCAGUCUGCAUGGAGCCGACCUUGAAAUACCACCCUUUAAUGUUUGAUGUUCUAACGUUGGCCCCUAAUCGGGGUUGCGGACAGUGUCUGGUGGGUAGUUUGACUGGGGCGGUCUCCUCCUAAAGAGUAACGGAGGAGCACGAAGGUUGGCUAAUCCUGGUCGGACAUCAGGAGGUUAGUGCAAUGGCAUAAGCCAGCUUGACUGCGAGCGUGACGGCGCGAGCAGGUGCGAAAGCAGGUCAUAGUGAUCCGGUGGUUCUGAAUGGAAGGGCCAUCGCUCAACGGAUAAAAGGUACUCCGGGGAUAACAGGCUGAUACCGCCCAAGAGUUCAUAUCGACGGCGGUGUUUGGCACCUCGAUGUCGGCUCAUCACAUCCUGGGGCUGAAGUAGGUCCCAAGGGUAUGGCUGUUCGCCAUUUAAAGUGGUACGCGAGCUGGGUUUAGAACGUCGUGAGACAGUUCGGUCCCUAUCUGCCGUGGGCGCUGGAGAACUGAGGGGGGCUGCUCCUAGUACGAGAGGACCGGAGUGGACGCAUCACUGGUGUUCGGGUUGUCAUGCCAAUGGCACUGCCCGGUAGCUAAAUGCGGAAGAGAUAAGUGCUGAAAGCAUCUAAGCACGAAACUUGCCCCGAGAUGAGUUCUCCCUGACUCCCUGAGAGUCCUGAAGGAACGUUGAAGACGACGACGUUGAUAGGCCGGGUGUGUAAGCGCAGCGAUGCGUUGAGCUAACCGGUACUAAUGAACCGUGAGGCUUAACCUUACAACGCCGAAGCUGUU